rnacentral:rRNA from 1 species
UGGGGAAUAUUGGACAAUGGGCGAAAGCCUGAUCCAGCCAUGCCGCGUGUGUGAAGAAGGUCUUCGGAUUGUAAAGCACUUUAAGCUGGGAGGAAGGGCAGUAAGCGAAUACCUUGCUGUUUUGACGUUACCGACAGAAUAAGCACCGGCUAACUCUGUGCCAGCAGCCGCGGUAAUACAGAGGGUGCAAGCGUUAAUCGGAAUUACUGGGCGUAACGCGCGCGUAGGUGGUUCGUUAAGUUGAAUGUGAAAGCCCCGGGCUCAACCUGGGAACUGCAUCCAAAACUGGCGAGCUAGAGUAGGGCAGAGGGUGGUGGAAUUUCCUGUGUAGCGGUGAAAUGCGUAGAUAUAGGGAGGAACACCAGUGGCGAAGGCGACCACCUGGGCUCAUACUGACACUGAGGUGCGAAAGCGUGGGGAGCAAACAGG